GGAGCCUACGGGGCGCAGCAGUGAGGAAUAUUGGUCAAUGGGCGGAAGCCUGAACCAGCCAAGUCGCGUGAGGGAUUAAGGCCCUGCGGGUCGUAAACCUCUUUUGCCGGGGAGCAGUGGUCCGGACGCGUCCGGACCGGGAGAGUACCCGGAGAAAAAGCAUCGGCUAACUCCGUGCCAGCAGCCGCGGUAAUACGGAGGAUGCGAGCGUUAUCCGGAUUUACUGGGUGUAAAGGGCGUGUAGGCGGGAAAGCAAGUCAGAUGUGAAAACCAUGGGCUCAACCUGUGGCCUGCAUUUGAAACUG
rnacentral:rRNA from 1 species